ACGAACGCUGGCGGCGUGCCUAACACAUGCAAGUCGAACGGAAUAAUUUAGUGGAAGUUUUCGGAUGGAAGCUAGAAUAUUUAGCGGCGGACGGGUGAGUAACGCGUGAGUAACCUGCCUUACACAGGGGAAUAGCCUCGGGAAACUGGGAUUAAUGCCCCAUGAUGUAUCUUGGUCGCAUGGCCGGGAUAUCAAAGUGAUAGCGGUGUAAGAUGGACUCGCGUCUGAUUAGCUAGUUGGUGGGGUAAAGGCCUACCAAGGCGACGAUCAGUAGCCGGCCUGAGAGGGUGAACGGCCACACUGGAACUGAGACACGGUCCAGACUCCUACGGGAGGCAGCAGUGGGGAAUAUUGCACAAUGGG
rnacentral:rRNA from 1 species